GACGACGCUGGCGGCGUGGAUUAGGCAUGCAAGUCGAACGGUAUGGACCUUCGGGGGUGAGAGAGUGGCGAACUGGUGAGUAACACGUAGGUUAUCUACCCUCAAGACGGGGACAACCCAGGGAAACUUGGGCUAAUACCGGAUGUGAGCAACUUUUAGUUGUUUGAAAGGUGGCGUAAGCUGUCGCUUGGGGAUGAGCCUGCGUCCUAUUAGUUAGUUGGUGAGGUAACGGCUCACCUAGGCAAUGAUAGGUAGGCGGCCUUAACGGGUGGUCGCCCACACUGGGAUUGAGAUACGGCCCAGACUCCUACGGGAGGCAGCAGUCGAGAAUAGUCUACAAUGGUCGGAAGACUGAUAGUGCGACGCCGCGUGAACGAUGAAUCCCUUCGGGGUGUAAAGUUCUUUUAUAUGUGAGCAGUGCUUCUUAUAUUAACAGUAUGGGGAGAGAGAUAUUAGCAUAUGAAUAAGCAACGGCUAACUCCGUG
rnacentral:rRNA from 1 species